AUUGAACGCUGGCGGCAGGCCUAACACAUGCAAGUCGAACGGUAACAGGAAGAAGCUUGCUUCUUUGCUGACGAGUGGCGGACGGGUGAGUAAUGUCUGGGAAACUGCCUGAUGGAGGGGGAUAACUACUGGAAACGGUAGCUAAUACCGCAUAAUGUCGCAAGACCAAAGAGGGGGACCUUCGGGCCUCUUGCCAUCGGAUGUGCCCAGAUGGUAUUAGCUAGUAGGUGGGGUAACGGUUCACCUAGGCGACGAUCCCUAGCUGGUCUGAGAGGAGGACCGGCCACACGGGAGCGUGAACACGGUCCAGAGUCCUACGGGAGGCAGCAGUGGGGAAUAUUGCACAGUAGGCGCAAGCCUGAUGCAGCUAUGCCGCGUGUAUGAAGAAGGCCUUCGGGUUGUAAAGUACUUUCAGCGGGGAGGAAGGGAGUAAAGUUAAUACCUUUGCUCAUUGACGUUACCCGCAGAAGAAGCACCGGCUAACUCCGUG
rnacentral:rRNA from 1 species